rnacentral:rRNA from 1 species
GUCGAAUGACUUGGAAAAGUCAGUCAAAGAGGGUAAAAACCCCGUAGACGAAAUGUGGAAGACACCUAGGAGGAUCCUGAGUACGGCGGAACACGAGAAAUUCCGUCGGAAUCCGGGAGGACCAUCUCCCAAGGCUAAAUACUCCCUAGUGACCGAUAGUGAACCAGUACCGUGAGGGAAAGGUGAAAAGCACCCCGGAAGGGGAGUGAAAUAGAACCUGAAACCGUGUGCCUACAACAAGUCAAAGCCCGUUAAUGGGUGAUGGCGUGCCUUUUGUAGAAUGAACCGGCGAGUUACGAUUGCAUGCGAGGUUAAGUUGAAGAGACGGAGCCGCAGCGAAAGCGAGUCUGAAUAGGGCGUUUGAGUAUGUAGUCGUAGACCCGAAACCAUGUGAUCUACCCAUGUCCAGGUUGAAGGUGCGGUAAAACGCACUGGAGGACCGAACCCACGUACGUUGAAAAGUGCGGGGAUGAGGUGUGGGUAGCGGAGAAAUUCCAAACGAACUUGGAGAUAGCUGGUUCUCUCCGAAAUAGCUUUAGGGCUAGCCUCGGAAUUGAGAAUGAUGGAGGUAGAGCACUGUUUGGACUAGGGGCCCAUCUCGGGUUACCGAAUUCAGAUAAACUCCGAAUGCCAUUCAUUCAUAUCCGGGAGUCAGACUGUGAGUGAUAAGAUCCAUAGUCGAAAGGGAAACAGCCCAGACCACCAGCUAAGGUCCCAAAAUAUAUGUUAAGUGGAAAAGGAUGUGGGGUUGCACAGACAACUAGGAUGUUGGCUUAGAAGCAGCCACCAUUUAAAGAGUGCGUAAUAGCUCACUAGUCGAGUGACCCUGCGCCGAAAAUGUACCGGGGCUAAACAUAUUACCGAAGCUGUGGAGUACACCUUUAGGUGUAUUGGUAGGAGAGCGUUCUAAGGGCGUC